AUUGAACGCUGGCGGCAGGCCUAACACAUGCAAGUCGAGCGAGCGGCGGACGGGUGAGUAAUGUAUGGGAAACUGCCUGAUAGAGGGGGAUAACUACUGGAAACGGUAGCUAAUACCGCAUACCAUCGGAUGUACCCAUAUGGGAUUAGCUAGUAGGUGGGGUAAAGGCUCACCUAGGCGACGAUCCCUAGCUGGUCUGAGAGGAUGAACAGCCACACUGGAACUGAGACACGGUCCAGACUCCUACGGGAGGCAGCAGUGGGGAAUAUUGCACAAUGGGCGCAAGCCUGAUACAGCCAUGCCGCGUGUAUGAAGAAGGCCUUAGGGUUGUAAAGUACUUUCAGCGGGGAGGCGUUACCCGCAGAAGAAGCACCGGCUAACUCCGUGCCAGCAGCCGCGGUAAUAC
rnacentral:rRNA from 1 species